GAAAUGGAGGUUUUCUUCUACCUAAGGAUCCUGUCUGCAGAACAUAUUUAAACUGGGGUGUUUCUCCCUCUGUUCCAUAACUGUUUGAGGAUGGCAGGUGUCUCUUGGGGGCUGUGAAGGUCUGGAUGCCUGUGACAAUGUCACUCCCUGAUGCUUCUGUUGGGUGAUACCGCCAAACCCUGAAUUCUUCCACUGUAUGUAGGUAUAUUAGGGAGAGUCUUCUGAGUUACCGCAGA
rfam:Rattus norvegicus strain BN; Sprague-Dawley chromosome 17 CRA_213000034356185, whole genome shotgun sequence.